rnacentral:rRNA from 1 species
GACGAACGCUGGCGGCGUGCUUAACACAUGCAAGUCGAACGGAAAGGCCCUGCUUUUGUGUGGUGCUCGAGUGGCGAACGGGUGAGUAACACGUGAGUAUCCUGCCCUUGAUUUUGGGAUAACUUCAGGAAACUGGGGCUAAUACCUGAUAGGAGCUCCUGCUGCAUGGUGGGGGUUGGAAAGUUUCGGCGGUUGGGGAUGGACUCGCGGCUUAUCAGCUUGUUGGUGGGGUAGUGGCUUACCAAGGCUUUGACGGGUAGCCGGCCUGAGAGGGUGACCGGCCACAUUGGGACUGAGAUACGGCCCAGACUCCUACGGGAGGCAGCAGUGGGGAAUAUUGCACAAUGGGCGGAAGCCUGAUGCAGCAACGCCGCGUGCGGGAUGACGGCCUUCGGGUUGUAAACCGCUUUCGCCUGUGACGAAGCGUGAGUGACGGUAAUGGGUAAAGAAGCACCGGCUAACUACGUG